rnacentral:rRNA from 1 species
UGGUGGAGUGAUUUGUCUGGUUAAUUCCGAUAACGAACGAGACUCUGUCCUGCUAACUAGGUUGUGUUUUCUCGGGUUGGUGUUUCUGGUGUUCCUUCUCGGGGCGCCGGCCCAAUCCAUUUGUGAACACAACACUCUUCUUAGAGGGACUGGCGGCUGUUAGCCGCACGAGAUAGAGCAAUAACA